GCCGGGAUGGCGGAACUUGGUAGACGCAGAGGACUCAAAAUCCUCCGUUCGCAAGGGCAUGAGAGUUCAAUUCUCUCUCCCGGCA
rnacentral:tRNA from 1 species